rnacentral:rRNA from 1 species
AGGUUAAGCAGUAAAUGUGGAGCCGUAGCGAAAGCGAGUCUGAAUAGGGCGUUUAGUAUUUGGUCGUAGACCCGAAACCAGGUGAUCUACCCUUGGUCAGGUUGAAGUUCAGGUAACACUGAAUGGAGGACCGAACCGACUUACGUUGAAAAGUGAGCGGAUGAACUGAGGGUAGCGGAGAAAUUCCAAUCGAACCUGGAGAUAGCUGGUUCUCUCCGAAAUAGCUUUAGGGCUAGCCUCAAGUGAUGAUUAUUGGAGGUAGAGCACUGUUUGGACGAGGGGCCCCUCUCGGGUUAC